UCCAGCGUCGAAUGAUUUAUGAUACUCUUUACUCUUUGUUUAUAUGGCGUUUGAAUUUUUCUCCCUCUUCUACGCCCUAUUAUGCUUUCCUAGCGUUUUUGUGGCAUAUUCGGAUGAUUUAUGAUAGGUGCUUCUUCUUCUUCUUCUUCUUUUUUAGGCACCCUGUUCAGCCUACCGGGUUGGAGCAAUACGGUCUUGAAUCUUCUUGGUCCCAAUGACAUUGUUGGUGUCCUAAUACUCGAUGUUCCUGGAAUUUUAGGGCACAACAAUGUCAUUGGUACCUAGAAUAUUCUGUAGUUACCUCUUCUGCAAGCCCGGUAGGCCUUCUGCCUUGACAAGAAUGAAACUACGACGUUGAUUUGCUUAAGAUUGGUCACAAGAAUUGAAGGGAUUGUUUAUAUUGUCAUUUCUUGCUUGAUUAACAUUGUGUCUUUCAUGUGAUUGUAAGCUAUAGCAUGUUAUUGCAGCAUCAGUUCUGUGGGAGUAUGAUUAGUGGUUGUCCGGGCGUUGCAAGUUUAAUGGCUGUUACUGGAAUUCAACGAACAAUUGUUGCGUUAUGCCCUAGUAUUGCCCUACCUUUUCAAUCUGCAUUGUUUGGUGAGAAUAAUUUUAUCAAUAAUAUCCGUGAGAGGAGAUAGAUGUCCCAGAAACUUGGAGAAUCCUGUCAUAACAGAGGAGCCGAUGCUUCCUUUGAAGAAAGUGUUAUUGCCUUAUAUCCCAUGCCCCAUAUGAUGCAUUCUGCUAGCGCAGAAGCAAACAUUAAUUAGUGAAAUCAUACUGUAAUCAGAAAAAAAGCUUAGUGGGAGGGAUUGAAGCCUAAUGAUAGGGUUUCUUUCGUUCAGUAGGGAACACCAUUAAACCGAAACCUUGUCCCCAAUCCUAUACUUUAUUUGCAGUUGUCAGGUUUCUGUUCAUAGUCACUGUCUUGGGUUAUGAGUUUUAGAACUUUUAUCUUGAUAAGAUACAUGGGUUGAGUGACGGAAGUGAUACAAUCUCACUACAGCUUUCUUAUGUAAUGAGGAUUUUGUAGCUGUUCUGAUCGUCUAAUGUUGCCGUGUCAUCUUAUGUUCUGUGUGAUUAAAAUGUUAUGAUAUAACUAGUGUUGUUGAGUAAUCUAUGCGGGUGAACCGUUUUUAUGUAGUAGGCUUAAAAGUUUUCUUUGAAGCACUGUUGAAAUAAAAAAGGAGCCUAUCUGCUGAAGGAAACAUGUGAUGUUGUCCAUAAUUUUUGUUCGUAUUCAGUAGGUUCCUUAUGUGACCCCAAAAAAACAAAGGUCCAGGUCGGAUAUUAUAAGAUUAUUUACAUGUGGCGCCAUCAAGCAGAAUUAUCAAAUGUAUUAGUUACUCACUACUUCUAAGAAAGUUUGGAAUGAAAAAUUAGUCCAGAUUACUAGUCCAAGUUUUCAGAGGGCUCAUCCGUAUGAUUUCUGGAGUACAAUAUAACCCAUAUAUGAAUUCAAUGAUUCAAACACCGCCUGAAAUGGACUCAACCACUGAGAUUUCACAUGAGUCCGAAGAACUUGAUUUCAUCAAUUCUUUUUUGCGAUCGACUCCAAGUAUGGAUGACCCGAUCCAGAGUAAUUGGAAGUGGUAACAAUAUCGUAUAUGCAGUCAGACACGAAGAAAAGGAAAAGGAAUUGUGGUAUCUUUUUUCAAUAUAAUGUUCCAAUGAUUUCGAGCUUGUUUGUAGAGAAGGGUUGGUUUGUAUAGCUAGCUAAGUUGGCUUGUCAUAAGUUGUGGCCUACUUUGAUAAUCCCUUGUAAUUCAAUUCUUAGAUAAUUUUGAUUCGGUGUAAUCCAAUCCCUUUAAGUCAAUCCCUUCCAGUAAAUCGAUGCUAGUAAAUAAACAUGACAGUAUGUCAUUUAUUUGAAUCAGUUUUAGUGCACAUUAUCUUGAUGA